AAAGGUCAUCCCUCCCCAUAGCAACGAGGGGGCCUGACAGGCCCUAAAUGCACUUUGAGAAUGUAAUCGGGACAUUGUUUUUGCAACCCGCUACUUCCAGGAAGACUCUGAAGUGGGCAGAGUCAUGGGCCUGCCUUUAAAUAGCCAGAGCUUCCUGUCAGCUAGGUACUCCAAACUUCUUUCCCUUGCUUCCCAACGUCUGCGUUCAACGUGGCCUUCGGGUAACAAUGCUGAGGAAGACGGCAAUCCUUUCAGUGCUGCUGGCUCUGAUUCUGGUUGAUCUGCUAAAGGCACAAGGUACCCCUGUUACCCCUCUGCUUGGGGCAACAAGUGUGGAACAAAGCAGAGAUUCCAGUGUGCAACCAAGCACAGAGUCCCCCCUGGACUACAGCAGAGACCCAUACAAAGAGGAAGGCAUGGAACAAAUUGGGAACACUGGAGUGCAAGAAGGUGGACAGGCCACUUGGGAGCUGAGCGGAGAGCCAAGUACUGACUCUACCCCCAACCCAAGUGUGGAGCCAAGCAAAGAGUCAACCACCGAAAUAUCUGGUAAGAUCCAUUUUGUCUUUGAUUUUUCACAUGUUAUUGUUAUCUAACUUUACUUUGUUACCCCAGCACUCCCACCUUACCUGCACUACUGGGGGAAGACACGCACAAAAUAACGAUUUUCCUCACCAAUUAGCCUCUGCUCUGAAAAGAAGGGUCAAAUUAUCCCGUAUAGAAAAAAACAAAGACGCAGAAUUUCAAUGACUACAAACCAGCAGGGGCUCUCUCAUACCAUUCAUCCACAUGGAGUUCUUUUUCACCUGCAAAGGGACUGUGCAAUAUGUCAUCUAGACUAAGAUCUCAUCUCGAAUAGCAUUAUGUCUGAAGGCUCUACCCUUUUCUAUUAGGGCUAUCGGCAGCUUCUCUAGAGUUCACAACAGGGCACAGAAUAUGGAAGAAGGACACACCAAAGAAUUACUUUUCCUGUCUUCAUCAAUUUCCACCAUGCUUUCAGUCUGGUUAGCAAGACAAUCUGACACUGACUUUACCUUCCAUGUUCCUUUAUUGUUGUUUAUAUCAGCUGCCUUAUCUUUUGAAAAUGCUUACUCUUGAAAACAUUUCCUUUGAAAUCUUCCUGCUUUGUUUCUCCCACGAUUGCUAAGCCCCUCUCCUCACCUACUUCAGUGGCAUUUUAGAGCCUACGUAUGUGCUAGGAGAACUGGAAGUUGUAACAUCGUGCCCAUUGCAGUUUCAGAAAUUGGAGAAAUCCCUGGAAUUAGU
rnacentral:lncRNA from 1 species